rnacentral:rRNA from 1 species
AGCGAACGCUGGCGGCAGGCCUAACACAUGCAAGUCGAACGAAGUCUUCGGACUUAGUGGCGGACGGGUGAGUAACACGUGGGAACGUGCCUUUAGGUUCGGAAUAACUCAGGGAAACUUGUGCUAAUACCGAAUGUGCCCUUCGGGGGAAAGAUUUAUCGCCUUUAGAGCGGCUCGCGUCUGAUUAGCUAGUUGGUGAGGUAAAGGCUCACCAAGGCGACGAUCAGUAGCUGGUUUGAGAGGAUGAUCAGCUACAUUGGGACUGAGACACGGCCCAAACUCCUACGGGAGGCAGCAGUGGGGAAUCUUGCGCGAUGGGCGAAAGCCUGACGCAGCCAUGCCGCGUGAAUGAUGAAGGUCUUAGGAUUGUAAAAUUCUUUCACCGGGGACGAUAAUGACGGUACCCGGAGAAGAAGCCCCGGCUAACUUCGUGCCAGCCGCCGCGGUAA